GGUUAGCUCAGAUGGUAGAGCACCAGACCGUGAAUCUGGCUGUCGCGGGUUCGAUUCCCGCCGCCUCCA
rnacentral:tRNA from 1 species